rnacentral:rRNA from 1 species
UGCGUAGGCGGUCUUGCAAGCCAGAGGUGAAAGGCUAUGGCUCAACCAUAGUGAGCCUUUGGAACUGCCGGACUUGAGUACAGGAGAGGAAAGUGGAAUUCCUAGUGUAGCGGUGAAAUGCGUAGAUAUUAGGAGGAACACCAGUGGCGAAGGCGACUUUCUGGACUGUUACUGACGCUGAGGCACGAAAGCGUGGGGAGCGAACA